rnacentral:rRNA from 1 species
UCGGGAAUUUUGGGCAAUGGGCGAAAGCCUGACCCAGCAACGCCGCGUGAAGGAUGAAGUAUUUCGGUAUGUAAACUUCGAAAGAAUAGGAAGAAUAAAUGACGGUACUAUUUAUAAGGUCCGGCUAACUACGUGCCAGCAGCCGCGGUAAUACGUAGGGACCAAGCGUUGUUCGGAUUUACUGGGCGUAAAGGGUGCGUAGGCGGAAGGAUAAGUUAGUUGUGAAAGGCCUGGGCUUAACCUAGGAACUGCAAUUAAGACCGUCCAUCUAGAGUUGAGUAGAGGGGAGCGGAAUUUCCGGUGUAGCGGUGAAAUGCGUAGAUAUCGGAAGGAACAUCAGUUGCGAAGGCGGCUCUCUGGACUCAAACUGACGCUGAGGCACGAAAGCGUGGGUAGCGAACAGGAUUAGAUACCCACGUAGUCCCUGAG